rnacentral:lncRNA from 1 species
GACUUUCGGUGACUAAUGGGUUGGAGACAAUCCCAAGGUGCAUUGGCCGUGUGAUCCAGGACGAUAUUAUGGCAAAUGUGGGC